rnacentral:rRNA from 1 species
CAACCUGCCGACAACACUGGGAUAGCCUUUCGAAAGAAAGAUUAAUACCGGAUGGCAUAGCUUUCCCGCAUGGGAUAAUUAUUAAAGAAUUUCGGUUGUCGAUGGGGAUGCGUUCCAUUAGGCAGUCGGCGGGGUAACGGCCCACCAAACCAACGAUGGAUAGGGGUUCUGAGAGGAAGGUCCCCCACAUUGGAUCUGAGACACGGUCCAAACUCCUACGGGAGGCAGCAGUGAGGAAUAUUGGUCAAUGGACGAGAGUCCGAACCAGCCAAGUAGCGUGAAGGAUGACUGCCCUAUGGGUUGUAAACUUCUUUUAUACGGGAAUAAAGUUAGCCACGUGUGGCUUUUUGUAUGUACCGUAUGAAUAAGGAUCGGCUAACUCCGUGCCAGCAGCCGCGGUAAUACGGAGGGUCCGAGCGUUAUCCGGAUUUAUUGGGUUUAAAGGGAGCGUAGGCGGACGCUUAAGUCAGUUGUGAAAGUUUGCGGCUCAACCGUAAAAUUGCAGUUGAUACUGGGUGUCUUGAGUACAGUAGAGGCAGGCGGAAUUCGUGGUGUAGCGGUGAAAUGCUUAGAUAUCACGAAGAACUCCGAUUG